rnacentral:lncRNA from 1 species
AGAUGAUGUAUAUAUUGAGGUGAAUAGCGAAGCAGAAAACUUCAAAAAACCUUGACUGCAAACUUUCAGGGUUCCUGUUAGGGUAACCUCUCUUAAUCAGAAAGAACUAACAGCUCCCUCCUAGCACAAGCUGAUUGGAUUUUUACAAAUGACCUUGGUCCUUCAGGGACAAGCCAGCAUGAGGGAUGAAUGAAUACACAUGAAGGAGCAAAGACAAGGCAGGGGAUCAAGCCAGAAGGAUUUGGUAGCAAAGAAGGGAUUGACACUGGCACUGAUGGGAAGGAGAUACUGCCGUGGUUUGCCCAAAAAUGAGACAGAACGUUUUCUUUCCUCCUGACGGAUAUGCAUUGGAAACAGGCAGAAGGUGGGUGCCUCAAAGCCACAAGAGAGGCUUGCUGUAAAAAUGAGAACACACAUUAAAAUCUCUAGCACUAGCUCUAAGAGUAAAUCAAACAUUUUCCUCAUUCCCUAAACACAACAACUCAGCAGAUGCAUCGGAAAAGGCAGAUAAAUAAUCAAGCCAGUGUUGGUUUACAGCUGUCCGGGGAAUUUCAGGUACUCUUGGAAUCCUGUGGCUCCUAACAUGGCAGUA